CAGGAACAUUCUGAUCUCUUCACUGGAGCUAAAAAUACAGCCUUAUAUGGUUGGAGAUUUAUUCUGGAGAAAAUGGACCUGUCCAGUAAAAUAACACCAGCACAAGCAAAGAAAAAGUGGGACAAUUU